AAUUGAUGAAAAUACCUAU
rnacentral:siRNA from 1 species